rnacentral:rRNA from 1 species
UACAGAGGUCUCAAGCGUUUGUUCGGAUUCAUUGGGCGUAAAGGGUGCGUAGGUGGCGCGGUAAGUCGGGUGUGAAAUUUCGGAGCUUAACUCCGAAACUGCAUUCGAUACUGCCGGGCUUGAGGACUGGAGAGGAGACUGGAAUUUACGGUGUAGCAGUGAAAUGCGUAGAGAUCGUAAGGAAGACCAGUGGCGAAGGCGGGGUCUCUGGACA